rnacentral:rRNA from 1 species
CGGGUGAGCGGCGGACGGGUUAGUAACGCGUGGGAAUAUACCCAAAGGUACGGAAUAGCCUCUGGAAACGGAGAGUAAUACCGUAUGUGCCCUUCGGGGGAAAGAUUUAUCGCCUUUGGAUUAGCCCGCGUUGGAUUAGGUAGUUGGUGGGGUAAUGGCCUACCAAGCCUACGAUCCAUAGCUGGUUUGAGAGGAUGAUCAGCAACACUGGGACUGAGACACGGCCCAGACUCC